rnacentral:rRNA from 1 species
AUACGUAGGGGGCGAGCGUUGUCCGGAAUGAUUGGGCGUAAAGGGCGCGUAGGCGGCUUUGCAAGUCAGUAGUGGAAGUCCAUUUUUCAAGGAUGGAAGUGCUACAGAAACUGCGGAGCUUGAGUGCAGGAGAGGUUAUCGGAAUUCCCGGUGUAGCGGUGAAAUGCGUAGAGAUCUGGAGGAAAACCAGUGGGGAAGGCGGGUAACUGGACUGCAACUGAAGCUGAGGCGCGAAAGUGUGGGGAGCAAACAGGAUGAGAUACCCUGGUUGUCCACACUGUGAACGAUUAAUGCUAGGUGUAUGAGGGAUCGACCCCUUCUGUGCCGCAGUAAACACAGUAAGCAUUCCGCCUGGGGAGUACGGUCGCAAGAUUAAAACUCAAAGGAAUUGACGGGG